GACUUUGGAGCCUUCGUGCUUCUAAUUUCCAGCAUCCCUGUUAAAACAACACCUGUGAUUGGGUUACUUGGUCCUUUUUACUGGAUGCUCCAACAAGAAUAUGUUAUAUAUCAUCAUCUUCUGCAAUGACAUAGGCUGGAGAAGUCAAGUGCCAUCUACUCAUGUCUCACAUAAGGAGUGGCAACAAGGAAACUAUUGAUUUCCUGGGAACUUCAGAAUCAAGGCCAAAGGGGAACUCAGAUUUAUGACAUGAAAAGUUGGAAGAGUGGAGGUUCUGCAGGGGCUGCUUUCAAGGUUAUUGUGCAUCCCGAAGAGGAGAUCAGCAAUGUUCCAGAAAAAGACUGUUCCAUCAGUCGAUUCUGGAACAAAGAGGACAUGGAUAAAACUUCAAUUCUUUUUGUUGUUGUUGUUUGUUUUUUUUUCCUUUUUUUAUUUUUUAAACUUUUAUUUAAUGAAUAUA